GAUGAACGCUGGCGGCGUGCCUAAUACAUGCAAGUCGAGCGAACGGACGAGAAGCUUGCUUCUCUGAUGUUAGCGGCGGACGGGUGAGUAACACGUGGAUAACCUACCUAUAAGACUGGGAUAACUUCGGGAAACCGGAGCUAAUACCGGAUGAUAUUUUGAACCGCAUGGUUCAAAAGUGAAAGACGGUCUUGCUGUCACUUAUAGAUGGAUCCGCGCUGCAUUAGCUAGUUGGUAAGGUAACGGCUUACCAAGGCAACGAUGCAUAGCCGAACUGAGAGGGUGAUAGGCCACACUGGAACUGAGACGCGGUCCAGACGCCUAAGGGAGGCAGCAGUAGGGAAUCUGCCGCAAUGGGCGAAAGCAUGACGGAGCAACGCCGCGUGAGUGAUGAAGGUCUUCGGAUCGUAAAACUCUGUUAUUAGGGAAGAACAUAUGUGUAAGUAACUGUGCACAUCUUGACGGCACCUAAUCAGAAAGCAACGGCUAACUACGUG
rnacentral:rRNA from 1 species